rnacentral:lncRNA from 1 species
AUCAUCUUAUUUUUGACUGAUGAUCUGUGGAGACUUCAUAUGCAUGAGUCCAUGUGUCAAGGAGAAGGUUUUGCCAUAGCCAGAUAUGAGCAGGGGCAGAGCUGCACCAGAAGAGAGGCGAGCCAUGACACAAGGAUGAUGGCAGGGAGGGACCUCCCUGACAGGGGCAUAGUCCCACGCCAGCAAUCAAGAAGAGCAGAGCUGGUCCAGCCCAGGGUCAGCCACAAACUGGAGACCUCCAGAGCAGCCUAUAGCAAUGAGGGAGGUCUGAAGUCAAGCCAAGAGGCCAAACCAGUGAAGCAAGGUCAGCAAAGCCAGCUGCAACAACAAUUAAUAUCACGGAAUUAACAAGAAGGAAGGAACCAGAAAAGUGAGUGAAGAGAAUGUGACUGAAGAUGCUUUUGCCAUUUGGAAGGGACUGGUUGGUGUUCAGAAAGUCCAAGUGGAAGAAUAUGAGUACAACCACAUGAAGACCUAGGAACAGGUAAGCUAGGUUCAAAUUUUCAGACUGUAUCUCCAAUAUUUGAGUUACUAAGUGUAAUGGAGUAACAAAUUGACCAGUUCUAGGAACAGGCUUAUGCUUCACCGAAGCACCUAAAAGCAUAGUACCAAGAGUCCAUUACUAAACAGAAACAAAGUACAAUGGAUUUAUUGGAUUAGUUUGGCUUUUAGUGGAGGACUUUUUUUAUAAAUUUCAUUAGGAGGUGUUUUGGCCUACAGAUAAACAUAUUUCUUAAUGCAACAGUAUAUAAAUAUAUUCUAAGGGAAUAGUUUGGUCUGGGUGCCGCGAGGACCAGGUGCUCCCCACAGAGGCUGAGGGGUGUUGUGGGGCUGGCAGGGCAGGCUUCUCACCAGCCAGGGCCUUUCCCACUGCCCCCAGUCAGGGAGCUGGAUGUGAAGCCAGGUUUGGCUGAGAGUCCAUAUCAUUAGAGAAGUUUAUGGUAAUGAGGCAGGUCUAUCAGGCUGGGAAGUCAGUCUGCAGGUUGGGGUUAGUGCCUGGACCGCUCGGGCCCAUGCCAGGCCCAGGCAGUGCUGCGAUGCAGUGAGUGCCGUGGUUUCAGUGAAGGAUGAACACUGGCAGUGUCAGAGCAGCUCCCGGUGCUGGCUGUGGUGUCCCACAGCUGUCUGAGAGCCUUUCUUCAGGGUCACCAUUAGGAAGGGGGAUGCCUUUGGCUGCAUGGCUUGGAGCUGUCCUGAGCCCCAGCAGUCAAAACCCAAGGAAGGGGCAUGUGCUCAGGGCCCUGCCAAGUCUCAUGAUCCCUGCCACUAUCCAGCUCCAUGGUCUAGCUGGAUGCUACACCAGCAGUGAUAUUUUUGUUGUAUGAUAUCAGAAGAAAGUUGUAGGCAUUAGUAACAACUAGCCUUACAAGCUGAAAUGUUACUAUAAAUAUUGUUCAAACAACUCUGUUUCAGCCACUCUGAGAAAUUCAUAGAAGCAAAUGAAGGAAUGUUCUCCUCUCCAUUGGUGAGUGUCAGGUAUAAUUGUGUCAGGGUACAUAAUUACAUAGUUCUCUUUUUCCCUUAUUUUGCAAUAAAGGGAAGGUAAUCCCAUUUUAAUCA